rnacentral:snRNA from 1 species
GUUUCCUCCAGUGGUACAGAUAUUGAAGUUGGAAUGAUACAAACAAGGGUUAGCACUGUGCUUGUUCAAGGGUGACAAGCAAAUUCGUGAAGCAUCCCUUAUACCU